GUGGCUUUUUUUUCGAGUGUGCGGGUGGGGGAGCCCCACCCCCAGCCCUGAACUAACUAAACGGAACUGAACUAAACUAAAUCAAGUUGAAAUGCCGAUCGACAAACGGCAACUACGAAAUUUGCCAGCAGUGCUCAGCCCACUAACUGCCUGCCCCCAACCUCUCCCUCCACCUCCACCCAACACCACCCCCCCCCCCCCUCAAACCAACCAAAAUCGAUCGUCGCAAAAAAGAGAUACUGUGUAGUAACCAACGGAAUAUGGGUUUAGUACAGUGGAGCAAAUCGUCGCCAGGAUUGAACAACACAUCUCAAGAUCUUAAUGAAAAUUAGAUUAUGUUAAACUUAAUAUAUUAAUAAAAUUCUUAAUUGUUAUAUAAUUCUAUAAAACUUUCUGAGCUCCCUAUUCCAUCCUAUGAAUCAUUGAAUAUAACAAUAAAAAUAUAUUUUUCGAUUGAUAACAUUUCAACAACAUUUCCUAUAAGCCAUAAAAUUCGACCCUGACAUGCCCAUUUAAUUAACGUCAAAAACUCGAUUUUAUAC
ensembl:ncRNA lncRNA:CR45616 long non-coding RNA:CR45616